rnacentral:rRNA from 1 species
GGGCGUAAAGAGCUCGUAGGCGGUUUGUCGCGUCUGCCGUGAAAGUCCGAGGCUCAACCUCGGAUCUGCGGUGGGUACGGGCAGACUAGAGUGAUGUAGGGGAGACUGGAAUUCCUGGUGUAGCGGUGAAAUGCGCAGAUAUCAGGAGGAACACCGAUGGCGAAGGCAGGUCUCUGGGCAUUUACUGACGCUGAGGAGCGAAAGCAUGGGGAGCGAACAGGAUUAGAUACCCUGGUAGUCCAUGCCGUAAACGUUGGGCACUAGGUGUGGGGGACAUUCCACGUUUUCCGCGCCGUAGCUAACGCAUUAAGUGCCCCGCCUGGGGAGUACGGCCGCAAGGCUAAAACUCAAAGGAAUUGACGGGGGCCCGCACAAGCGGCGGAGCAUGCGGAUUAAUUCGAUGCAACGCGAAGAACCUUACCAAGGCUUGACAUGUUCCAAACCGCCUCAAAGAUGGGGUUUCCCUUCGGGGCUGGUUCACAGGUGGUGCAUGGUUGUCGUCAGCUCGUGUCGUGAGAUGUUGGGUUAAGUCCCGCAACGAGCGCAACCCUCGUUCCAUGUUGCCAGCGGGUUAUGCCGGGGACUCAUGGGAGACUGCCGGGGUCAACUCGGAGGAAGGUGGGGAUGACGUCAAAUCAUCAUGCCCCUUAUGUCUUGGGCUUCACGCAUGCUACAAUGGCCGGUACAAUGGGUUGCGAUACUGUGAGGUGGAGCUAAUCCCUAAAAGCCGGUCUCAGUUCGGAUUGGGGUCUGCAACUCGACCCCAUGAAGUC